rnacentral:misc_RNA from 1 species
GAUGAAGAACGCAGCAAAAUGCGAUAAGUAAUGUGAAUUGCAGAAUUCAGUGAAUCAUCGAAUCUUUGAACGCACAUUGCGCCCAUUAGUAUUCUAGUGGGCAUGCCUGUUCGAGCGUCAUUUCAACCCUUAAGCCUAGCUUAGUGUUGGGAAUCUGCUGUAUUGCAGUUCCUCAAAUACAACGGCGGAUCUGUAACAUCCUCUGAGCGUAGUAAAUUUUUAUCUCGCUUUUGUUAGGUGUUGCAGCUCUCAGCCGCUAAACCCCCCAAUUUUUGUGGUUGACCUCGGAUCAGGUAGGAAUACCCGCUGAACUUAAGCAUAUCAAUAAGCGGAGGA